AGAGAAAUCUAUAGACACUCUAUAUAAUCACACAAUUAGCUUGCGCAUAUCUAAAACUGUCUUUAUUUUCUUCUCAAAGCAUCUCCCUUGUCACUCUUCACCAGCUGUGCUUCCAGCGGCAGCGUGAGGCAUGCAGGCUUAUUAGGCCUUCACUUCUAUCUGAAGGAAUGCUGGAGCUGCAAGCAGACCAUUAGAGCUUUAUUGGAAAGGGGUUCGAAACUCUUGUGCAAUUAUCGGCCGCAUCAAAACACAGAGGCAGCGUUGGAUUCCCUGCGAGGUCGAGACUGAGGCGAUGUUGGUCAAGGAUUUAGCUGCCAAAUUCUAUUUAUUUUUCGUGUUGGCUGAGAUGGGAGAUUACGCUUGUUUGUUUGCUGUUUUGUAAAGACAAACAUUAUUUCUAUCAUUGGUGGAUGCAUUGCAAAAGAUGAGAGCUAAAUUGAUAUAAGGAACUGUUGAUAAUGCCCAGUCUGUGAUACCAUCACAACAU
ensembl:lncRNA